CGUCGCGUGAAGGAUGAAGGUCUUCGGAUUGUAAACUUCUUUUAUCUGGGAAUAAGAAAUCUGUGGAAACACGGAGAGUGAAUGUACCAGGUGAAUAAGCCACGGCUAACUUCGUGCCAGCAGCCGCGGUAAUACGAAGGUGGCAAGCGUUACUCGGAAUUACUAGGCGUAAAGGGCAGGUAGGUGGUUCGGUAAGUCUGUUGUGGAAGCUCCCGGCUUAACUGGGAGAGGUCAACAGAAACUACCGGACUUGAGUAUAGGAGAGGGUACUGGAAUUCCCGGUGUAGCGGUGAAAUGCGCAGAGAUCGGGAGGAACACCAAUGGCGAAAGCAGGUACCUGGACUAUUACUGACACUCAGCUGCGAAAGCUAGGGGAGCAAACAGGAUUAGAUACCCUGGUAGUCCUAGCCGUAAACGAUGCACAUUAGACGUGAGGGGUAUCGACCCCCUUCGUGUCGACGCAAACGCAUUAAAUGUGCCGCCUGGGGAGUACGGCCGCAAGAUCCAUAUGAC
rnacentral:rRNA from 1 species